GAAUUGUUCACAAUGGGCGCAAGCCUGAUGACGCAACGCCGCGUGGGGGAUGAAGGUCUUCGGAUUGUAAACCCCUGACGAAUGGGACGAAAAACUCGCGAUCUAACAUGUCGCGGGAUUGAGGGUACCGUUAAAGGAAGCCACGGCUAACCAUGUGCCAGCAGCCGCGGUAAGACAGAGGUGGCAAGCGUUGUUCGGAAUUACUGGGCGUAAAGGGCGCGUAGGCGGCCAUCUAAGUCAGACGUGAAAUCCCCCGGCUUAACCUGGGAACUGCGUCUGAUACUGGACGGCUAGAGUAUGGGAGAGGGAUGUAGAAUUCCAGGUGUAGCGGUGAAAUGCGUAGAUAUCUGGAGGAAUACCGGUGGCGAAGGCGGCAUCCUGGACCAUUUACUGACGCUGAGGCGCGAAAGCUAGGGGAGCAAACGGG
rnacentral:rRNA from 1 species